rnacentral:sRNA from 1 species
GAUUAGCGUAAGGGAUUGAAGUGGCAUCCUUUUAUAAAUUCUAAUCCCGAAGCCUCGGGAUUGGGAAUUUAUAAAAGAUACAACGUACAGCCCGACCCGCA